rnacentral:misc_RNA from 1 species
GAGGACGAAGACUUCAAUUACAGAUUCAAUUCUAUAAGUUUUAGGGGUAAAGAGGGGUGGAUUAUUGGGAAGCCCAACAUUUUGUUGUACACAUCGAAUGCCGGCGAUAGUUGGGAGAGGAUACCGUUGAGCGCCCAGCUCCCCGGUGAUAUGGUGUACAUUAAAGCGACCGGAGAUAAUGCUGCCGAGAUGGUUACAGAUGAAGGUGCAAUUUAUGUUACAUCAAAUCGGGGGUACAACUGGAGGGCUGCUGUUCAAGAGACCGUCUCAGCCACUCUGAACAGAACAGUUUCU